GGCUGAUCCAAGAACAGUAGUGUUUACAACCAAUUGAUUACAGCCAGUUACAGAUUCUUUGUUCCUUCUCCACUCCAUGCUUCACUUGACUAGCUUUAA
rnacentral:Y_RNA from 1 species